GGGGGGUCUGGAAUUAAAAGUAUUCUUUGUCCGUAAUUAGUGUUUUCUAAGUAGUUUUUCUGAUUAGUGUCAUAACUUUUUCUUUUUUUAAUGGCUCAAUACACUGGUUGAGAGACUUAACUAGUUCCCCGAGGGCCCAACUGGUUCCCUGAGGGCCCCUCUCACCCCUACAAAAAGGCGCAAAAUGGUUUAGUCCGCCCAUCGCGACUCAGCAUUGAGGUGGUCCCAGAGUUUUGGUGCUACACCCCUGACCGUGCGUUUCCUGCCGAGACAUAUCAAAGUCUGUGGGUGUUUAUAAACAUGUCUAAUAGUUUAGAUGAUAAAAUAAAAUAAUUACAAUGGUAACUAGAAUAUGAAUUGUAGUAUAUAGUGCAUAUUUUGGACACUUUUCAUGUACGUUUAGGCAGUGAAAACUAAAAUAUCCCAAUAGAAGAUUAAAGCUCCAAGCGGCUUUGAUCAGGGCCCUCGCACACAUGUGCACGUUUGACAUGCAAGUCAGAGGAACGUCCCAUGUCGUGGAGCAUCAUCAUGUGGCUAUGAUCAGGAGGAACUUCCUGUUCCAUGGCGAAGGCCUCGAAAAUCACCCCGUCUUCUCCACGUCGUCACAGGAAGGGGCUCUGACGAAAACUCAAGCUUUGAGAGAACGAUUUUCUUUUCCCUAGAUUUUCCCUUUUCCCUAGAUUUCAAAUGGGUCUUGAGAUGACACACCAAAAUUUGAGGUUGCUGGUGUGAAGUCUGUCGGAGGAGUUCUUUAAAGUUCCUGCAGACUGAGGACAUAAAAUCAACCAGUGUUGGACCUGGCACAGCAUUUUCUAUUGAACCCAGGCUGUCUGAUGACCUGAUGACCUACAUGAUAUUACGUAUUGAAUACGUAAUAAUAAAGUUGAGCAAAGUGGCGACAUCAGCUGUAGCUUCAAAUAAACACCACAAGGGGGAAGUGUGUGUUCAGACAAUAUUUCUGAAAGCUGUAUGUGGUCAGAUAGGGAAUCUGUGGGGUGAGGGAGUAUUUCCCUUUCCCUAGAUUUCAAAAUGGUAACUAGAUGAGUAAACUCUCCAUCUGAGCUGCAUGAGAUGCAUUGUGGGUAAUGUAGUGGUGUCACUGGCAUUAGAUAUAAAUCAACCACCACUCAAAUUAUAAUUAUAUUCCAUCUUGGUAAACCAAAAUAAAUGUCAAGAAUAAAAGUCACAUAGAUUUUUACAUAUUAGAGAAUCAUAAAGAUUAUGUUUAUAUAUGUAUAUAUUAUAUUAUAAUUAUUAUAAUAUUUAUAUAUAUAUAUAUAUAUAUAUAUAUAUAUAUUUUUUUUUUUACAGUUUUCACAUUAUGAACAUGUUCCUUUGUGAAGAGCUUGAGCAGUGUGAGAUACGAUAUGUUCCUUCCAGCACAUACCAAUGUUUAAACAUUUACCUUGCGGGCCGUCCUGGCUCACUUCCCUGUAAUUCAAAACAAUGCGCAGGAUGCAAUGGCCGGCACGGCAACCAUUGACACUUCCUGACGCUUCCUGCUGAUGUGUCUGUACAAGAAAGGAAACAUUUAACGUUAGCUUCACUGCAAAACCUCCCAUUAGAGACUUCAACAAAGUCUGGCCUGUGUAACGGUUUUUCUUCUCAUUCUCUCACGCAGUGCCACCCAUCAUCUUUGAUCUCCCGCAGCUUUUUCUGUUGCCUUCCUGUCUUUUCAGAAUUGCUGCAACAAAGCUGAGAGUCGGUUAUCGACUGGUAUGGGGUUUAGAAAAACAAAACAUCACCUGUUCACCUUGAGUUUGUGUCCGUGGGGACAUUCAGGUGUGAUUAAUGGCCCAUUGUAAAGUCAGAAUUAAAGCACUGGGAGUACAAUGGUCUGUCCCUUCAAAAGAACAACUGGCAACUGCCCAGUGUUUGUUAACUGAAGAGUGUUAAGUUAUAUUUAAGAUGUAUUAGAAAUGGAGGUUUUGAAUUAUGCACCUGAACUUUGCAGUGCAGAGGAGUAGAAACAGGUUGUUUGUAUUAAUGGAUAUAGCUUUCCUCAAUUUUUUAGUGUAUAUUUCUGCUAUAUUUAGUGACAUUUCUACCUCUUUCCUGAUGCCUUGACUCUUGCUGCUGCUGUAACAAGUAGAUUUCCCCGGCGUGAGAUUAAUAAAGUCCCGUAUUAUCUUUUCUCAUUGUUGGAUUUUCCAAUCGAACCUUUCUUUUUUUAAUCAUUAACCAAAAGAGGACACUGAUUCAGUUUUAAAAAGCCUUUAUGUUAAGGUAAUACAGUCAUAUUCUAAAAGAGGAAAUUCAGAGGACGUGUAUCGCCUGUCAAAGAUGAAGUGAUACUGGCGUUGGUCGGACCAGAUGCAGCUGAUGGGGAAGUGAGGUAUUACUAAAGAGAGUCUGAACAUAAGAAACCUGUUGACCAAAGAUAUAAAGAUUUAUGUGCAUUUAAGUGAACAGAGGACGAUGUUUCAUGGGGGAAAAAAGGGAGACAAAGGUGCCACCAAAAGAUGAUCCACACAGACAUCCGUCUAUGUUGGCAUACUAUAAUUCACUAUUACAGAACAGCAACUCUGACAGGGAUUGUUUGUGAGUCUGCACACACAGUCCCAGUGUGGGCAGACGCCUCCCAGUCGAAGACAUAAAUCCAGUGGCAGUAUCAAAGGUCCUGGUACGAACUGCAUGUCUUUGUAGGUGCGUCAGGAAAUGAGAAAGUUGAAUGUAAGGUCACUUGUGUAUGUGUGUGUGUGACCUGCCAUUAUGAUUAAAAGUUCA